AUAUACUGUACAACAUAUAUACUAAGAUUGGAACAAUAGAGAGGAUUACCAUGGCCCCUGAGCAAGCAUGACAUGCAAAUUAGAGAAGCGUUCCAUAAAGGA